rnacentral:rRNA from 1 species
GAUGAACGCUAGCGGCAGGCUUAAUACAUGCAAGUCGAGGGGUAACAUGGGUAGCAAUACCUGAUGACGACCGGCAAACGGGUGCGGGACACGUACGCAACUUCCCCAAAACUGGUGAAUAGCCCUCCGAAAGGAGGAUUAAUACACCGUAAGAUAUCUGAGUGGCAUCACUUGGCUAUUAUAGCUCCGGCGGUUUUGGAUGGGCGUGCGCCUGAUUAGGGAGUUGGCGGGGUAACGGCCCACCAAGCCUGCGAUCAGUAACUGGUGUCGAGAGCACGACCAGUCACACGGGCACUGAGACGCGGGCCCGACUCCUACGGGAGGCAGCAGUAAGGAAUAUUGGUCAAUGGACGAAAGUCUGAACCAGCCAUGCCGCGUGAAGGAUGAAGGCCCUCUGGGUUGUAAACUUCUUUUAUAGGGGACGAAAAAAGGGAAUUCUUUCUCACUUGACGGUACCCUAGGAAUAAGCACCGGCUAACUCCGUGCCAGCAGCCGCCGUAAUAC